AGAACGAACGCUGGCGGCGUGCCUAACACAUGCAAGUCGAACGUCCUACGCGCAAGCGUAGGGAGUGGCGGACGGGUGAGUAACACGUGGGCAAUCUACCUUUCGGUGAGGAAUACCGGCGAGAAAUCGCCGACAAGACCGCAUACGCUCGGGCAACCGAGCAAAGUCGCAAGACGCCGGAGGAGGAGCCUGCGCCCGAUUAGCUAGUUGGUGAGGUAAGAGCUUACCAAGGCGACGAUCGGUAGCUGGUCUGAGAGGAUGAUCAGCCACACUGGGAUUGAGAACGGCCCAGACUCCUACGGGGGGCAGCAGUGAGGAAUUUUCGUCAAUGGGGGCAACCCUGAACGAGCAACGCCGCGUGCAGGAUGACGCUUUUCGGAGUGUAAACUGCUUUUCUCGGGGAAGAGCAAGGACGGUACCCGAGGAAUCAGCCCCGGCUAACUACGCGCCAGCAGCCGC
rnacentral:rRNA from 1 species